GGUCCGGCAGCUAGCUGAGAACUGCUUGGCUCCUCUGGGUUUGGUAUCUUAACACUCCUUCAGUCUUUUGAGUUGAGCAUGAAAGAAAUCCAGAAUCUCAGAAGAAGUGGUCUCCUGAGCUGGGGAUGCGGUUGGCAGCAGAGCGAUUGGAUAGCAUGUGUGAACCUUUGAGUCCAGUCCCUUGCAAGGGGAAAAAGAACCCAAAGGAAAAAGAGAAAAGAAAAAGGAGUAUUUAAAAAGUAGAAGAAAGAUGGAGGACAAAGAAAAGAUGUGGAGAAAAUGCAUGGUUUAGCCCAAGAUUUCCAUGGAUUAAUUUUAAGUAAAUUGUUACAAAUAAUCUA